rnacentral:rRNA from 1 species
GACGAACGCUGGCGGCGUGCUUAACACAUGCAAGUCGAACGGAAGGCCCUGCUUUUGUGGGGUGCUCGAGUGGCGACCGGGGGAGUAACACGUGAGUAACCUGCCCUUGACUUUGGGAUAAUUUCAUGAAACUGGGGCUAAUACCGGCUAAGAGCUCCUGCUGCAUGGUGGGGGUUGGAAAGUUUCGGCGGUUGGGGAUGGACUCGCGGCUUAUCAGCUCGUUGGUGAGGUAGUGGCUUACCAAGGCUUUGACGGGUAGCCGGCCUGAGAGGGUGACCGGCCACAUUGGGACUGAGAUACGGCCCAGACUCCUACGGGAGGCAGCAGUGGGGAAUAUUGCACAAUGGGCGGAAGCCUGAUGCAGCAACGCCGCGUGCGGGAUGACGGCCUUCGGGUUGUAAACCGCUUUCGCCUGUGACGAAGCGUGAGUGACGGUAAUGGGUAAAGAAGCACCGGCUAACUACGUG